GACGAACGCUGGCGGCGUGCUUAACACAUGCAAGUCGAACGGAAAGGCCCUGCUUUUGUGGGGUGCUCGAGUGGCGAACGGGUGAGUAACACGUGAGUAACCUGCCCUUGACUUUGGGAUAACUUCAGGAAACUGGGGCUAAUACCGGAUAGGAGCUCCUGCUGCAUGGUGGGGGUUGGAAAGUUUCGGCGGUUGGGGAUGGACGCGCGGCUUAUCAGCUUGUUGGUGGGGUAGUGGCUUACCAAGGCUUUGACGGGUAGCCGGCCUGAGAGGGUGACCGGCCACAUUGGGACUAAGAUACGGACCAGACUCCUACGGGAGGCAGCAGGGGGGAAUAUGGCACAAUGGGCGGAAGCCUGAUGCAGCAACGCCGCGUGCGGGAUGACGGCCUUCGGGUUGUAAACCGCUUUCGCCUGUGACGAAGCGUGAGUGACGGUAAUGGGUAAAGAAGCACCGGCUAACUACGUG
rnacentral:rRNA from 1 species